rnacentral:rRNA from 1 species
CCUACGGGAGGCAGCAGUGGGGAAUAUUGGACAAUGGGCGAAAGCCUGAUCCAGCCAUGCCGCGUGAGUGAUGAAGGCCUUAGGGUUGUAAAGCUCUUUUAUCCGGGAAGAUAAUGACUGUACCGGAAGAAUAAGCCCCGGCUAACUUCGUGCCAGCAGCCGCGGUAAUACGAAGGGGGCUAGCGUUGCUCGGAAUCACUGGGCGUAAAGGGCGCGUAGGCGGAUGAUUAAGUCGGAGGUGAAAGCCCAGGGCUCAACCCUGGAAUUGCCUUCGAUACUGAUCGUCUCGAGAAUGGAAGAGGUAAGUGGAAUACCGAGUGUAGAGGUGAAAUUCGUAGAUAUUCGGUGGAACACCAGUGGCGAAGGCGACUUACUGGUCCAUUUCUGACGCUGAGGCGCGAAAGCGUGGGGAUCAAACAGGAUUAGAUACCCUGGUAGUCCACGCCGUAAACGAUGAAUGCCAGCCGUUGGGGAGCUUGCUCUUCAGUGGCGCNGCUACGUACUUAGUACACUUCCGUCCGUCGGGAGGUACGGUCGCGAAGAAUUAAACUAACAAAGAAGUUAGUACGGCGUGAGACGUGCCGAACGGACGACGACGAGGGAGUAGG